rnacentral:rRNA from 1 species
CAGCCGCCGCGGUAAUACGGAGGGUGCAAGCGUUAAUCGGAAUUACUGGGCGUAAAGCGCACGCAGGCGGUUUGUUAAGUCAGAUGUGAAAUCCCCGAGCUUAACUUGGGAGCUGCAUUUGAAACUGGCAAGCUAGAGUCUUGUAGAGGGGGGUAGAAUUCCAGGUGUAGCGGUGAAAUGCGUAGAGAUCUGGAGGAAUACCGGUGGCGAAGGCGGCCCCCUGGACAAAGACUGACGCUCAGGUGCGAAAGCGUGGGGAGCAAACGGGAUUAGAUACCCGAGUAGUCCCUGUCUCUUAUAA